rnacentral:rRNA from 1 species
UACAGAGGGGGCAAGCGUUGUUCGGAAUUACUGGGCGUAAAGGGCGCGUAGGCGGCCGCCUAAGUCAGACGUGAAAUCCCUCGGCUCAACCGGGGAACUGCGUCUGAUACUGGAAGGCUUGAAUCCGGGAGAGGGAUGUGGAAUUCCAGGUGUAGCGGUGAAAUGCGUAGAUAUCUGGAGGAACACCGGUGGCGAAGGCGACAUCCUGGACCGGUAUUGACGCUGAGGCGCGAAAGCCAGGGGAGCAAACGGG